rnacentral:tRNA from 2 species
GCAUUGGUGGUUCAGUGGUAGAAUUUCCGCCUCCCACGCGGGAGACCCGGGUUCAAUUCCCGGCCAAUGCA